AUUGAACGCUGGCGGCAGGCCUAACACAUGCAAGUCGAGCGGAUGAAGGGAGCUUGCUCCUGGAUUCAGCGGCGGACGGGUGAGUAAUGCCUAGGAAUCUGCCUGGUAGUGGGGGAUAACGUCCGGAAACGGGCGCUAAUACCGCAUCCGUCCUGAGGGAGAAAGUGGGGGAUCUUCGGACCUCAAGCUAUCAGAUGAGCCUAGGUCGGAUUAGCUAGUUGGUGGGGUAAAGGCCUACCAAGGCGACGAUCCGUAACUGGCCUGAGAGGAUGAUCAGUCACACUGGAACUGAGACACGGUCCAGACUCCUACGGGAGGCAGCAGUGGGGAAUAUUGGACAAAGGGCGAAAGCCUGAUCCAGCCAUGCCGCGUGUGUGAAGAAGGUCUUCGGAUUGUAAAGCACUUUAAGUUGGGAGGAAGGGCAGUAAGUUAAUACCUUGCUGUUUUGACGUUACCAACAGAAUAAGCACCGGCUAACUUCGUG
rnacentral:rRNA from 1 species